UACGAGUGCCCCAAGCGUUAUCCGGAAUUACUGGGCUUAAAGGGUGCGUAGGCGGCGCGGAAAGUAGGGUGUGAAAUCCCUCGGCUCAACCGAGGAAUUGCGCCCUAAACUACCGUGCUCGAGGGAGAUAGAGGUGAGCGGAACUUAGGGUGGAGCGGUGAAAUGCGUUGAUAUCCUAAGGAACACCGGUGGCGAAAGCGGCUCACUGGAUCUCUUCUGACGCUGAGGCACGAAAGCUAGGGUAGCGAACGGG
rnacentral:rRNA from 1 species